UCUUGUAAUAAGCAUCGAACUGUUAUUCGAUCCUUUGGGCAAGACACAAUCUCUUGAGUAAGUUCCUUUAAAUCAAGGUUUCUAAAGACACAAGUCGGAAACAUUAAUCUUAAGCAAUCAACAUCUAAAGACUAAUUCCCUACUCAGAUCUAUAGUGGUUAUUGAAAAAAAAAAAGAAGAUAAAGUCAAUCAGUAAAAAACCAAUCGACGACGAAAAAGGGAAAAGCCUGGCAAAACAGUCAUUGAAAACCGGAUUUGCGGGACAAGAACCGGCUAUCUCCACUACUGGAGCUGGAAGAUACCGUGCAAGAGCCG